rnacentral:lncRNA from 1 species
CCAAACUUAAUAUGCCAUUGAAGUUCUAUUUCAAUAUUGUUUUUCAACUCCCUCUGAAAAGAGCAAUGCUUAUUACAAACUCUCUAGCAAUAAAUUAUGAAAAAGGAAAACAAAAAUUAAAAAAAAGAUUAAUAAUAUAAAUGGAGGUUUCCAUGGUUUUGAGGUGUUUACCUUUCCAAAUAGUGUAAUCUCACCUUGUAACACCCCAUACCCAGCCUGGUCGCCAAGCCCAAAUAUCAACGUGCCACACCACCGUCUCAUGUCAAAUACAACAAGUAAAAGCUCAUUCUCAACCAAAC